GGUGGGCGGAGUGGGGGGAGCGCGCGGCAAUGACUCAGCGCCUGAAGUCACGUAGGUCUACGUAGUACGUAGGCGGCGCGGUGACCGCUAGGUGACGCGGGGGGGACACGCGAUUACCUUCGCGCCUAGCGCUGCUUACCGUAACCUUCAGCGCGCGGACUCGCGGAGCAUCCGAGCAUCGUUCACCGACCGGCAGCGAUUCGAGGCUCGCGGUAAAUAUCCUCGUCACCAACCGAGCGCCUCCUCGGCCACGCUGAAAAUUAGACAGCAUGAGAUAUAUAUAUUUCCGAGGCGUUGGGAUUUUCGGAUUCUAUCAUCGCGACGCGAUCCGAGCUGGUGAACUAUAGAGUAAUAACGUUACGCGUAGCAUCCUCGAUAGGAUUUCAGUCAGGUAAUUUUUACUUCCUUGUUCCCUUCCGUCUUCCGCUCGGCUGAAUUCGCCAACUCACAAUUUUGGUAACGUGCAGAUGUUUAAGCACGAGAGAAACGCAAGUUAAUAAUCCGAGUCGAGCGGGAAAAUAACAGGGCGCGGAAGAAAAAAGCAGUCGUAUGCCCAAAUGCGAGCUGGACUUCCUUUUACAAGCCGGCCACGAUCGAGAGCCGUAAACACGAGAUACAUGCGGGAGUCAUUUAAUUGACUUUCUCGAAGUCGAGCUUUCGCCUCGCGCUCGACCUCUCCCGUCCGUGAUUAUCAAAGUUUCCAUAAAGUUUCAAUGAAAUAAUCUAACGACGCGAAAGAAUAAACGAAGCAUAUUCAAUACGAUUUUUUUCCGUUAAAACGGUUUGAACGACAUCUUGUAUGAUGCGACGCGGCGACCAAUCACGGUGCCUGAUUUUUCCUAUCGGUCCGCCAAUCACGUUACGCGUCUCUCUCUGUCUCUCUUCCGCGAUGGUCGCAACAGUCGUUCCUUUCGCGCGCGAAUUUCCUCCCGUUUUCCACAGCGUGACCGGGCGUCCGGGGUGCCAAUUUGCGAAAGCCCGUCGCGAUAAAUCGUCGCGGACGAUCGCCAUCCAUCCGCGUCCGUCGAUAACCGACGACCGGCGAGAGGAGUCGUCUCGUCGCGUCUCUCCGCUCCGGAGUGCAAGGCUAAUCGCCGCAGGUACGCGAAUGUCCGCCAUAAUUUUCCGCAUUUUCGCGAAGCGUCACGCGUGGAACGCCGACCGCGGGGGGUGACCGCGCUAGACGCCCGGGCAGUCGUUUAACAUCCGCGAAAAUGCGAUCCUCCGGCGUCGCUCGACGUCAGGCUCCUCUCCGCGUGAUCGAGAAUCGAUUACGACGCCGGUCGGUGGCGUCGCGAUCUGCUCCGAGUCCCAGGUUCGUCGCGGUAUCGGGAGUGCCGAAAAAAGUGACGGGCGAUUUUUACGGUGGUAAUUGUCGGCGCGUGUAUGCGUGUGCGCGUGUUUGUGUGAAGCAGCGGCAAGCAGACGAGAGUGGCGAGACUGUGGCGAUGGUGCACCGGAGCUCUUUGUGGCACACGCAGUCUCAAGAAAAAAAUUGCGAGCAACGAAUUCAGAGCAUCGUUUCCUCGAUAGACGUCUCCUGAUCUUUUUCAAUCUUCACUGUCCGGCGAACGAAAUGGUAAAAAGCGUAUGAAUUAAUUGCUUCUAGUUCGUGGUAUUUAAAAUUUUUCAUUUCGUGUACUAAAUGAGUGCAAAAGAUGAUGACAAAUGGCAAUAAUUAAACGACGAAUGGAAAUUGGAUAUUAUAAAAGUUAUAUUGCCGUUAUUAAAUGUCUUUAUAAUGGUUUUAAUACUUCCAUCUUUUAUCCUGUUUAAAAAAAAAUUAUAUAUGCAUAUUGAUUUCCUUCUCUGAACAUGCGUCCAUAAAAUGAAUUUUGUAAUGCAGAUUUGAUAGUGGUACGGCUUUUCAAAUAGAUUUAAUUUUUUUUUACAGAACAUAAAAAUGGACUCUCAGUAAUGCAGCUCCAUCGUACUUCAUUUUGGUGAGUGUUGCAUUUUUUAUAUAACAACAAAACUGCAACUAGGAAAGUAAAAAAAACACGAAAGCACCUUCUGAUUAGAAUAUCUAAAAAAACAAUGUUUUUAUAAGAAAUAUAUAUUCCUUUAAACGUUUCAUAAAGUAUUGACGCUAAUGUUUUAAAAUUUCUAUUUCAAUAUAAAACUGCAAAUAUAUAAACAUUUGAGUUUUACGAUAAUUUUUUAAAUUGACAAAUAAAAUGUACUUGAGUUCAUCCUUAUAUUGAUGAUUGAAUAUUUUUCCAUUUAAGAUAGCAAAUAUUUAUUAUUACAUCCAUUUCACGCGAUCUGUUUUUACAAGCUCUCUCGUACGAUAAGGUUAAAUUGUGAGCUUAACUAUGUAUAUCGCGGUUUUUGAGUCUAUUUCAUAGAUAACACCCUGAAAACGACUCCGCAUAAACCUUGUUAAAACCUUCAUGCAGCCACGACAUCAUUUUUAUCUGUUACGGCUUUUUGUUUAUUCCCUUCACCCUUCUGCCAAGAAAUGAAAAAGCAACAAACAAAACUAUCUUUUAUAAAUGAUAAUAUUAUACAACGAUGCACUUAAGAAAUAUAUCUCUGUGACACGCCGAUUAAAAAAUAAUAAUUAGAUAUAUAAUAUGUAUAAUUGACAUUUUCCGUUGAAAUCUUAUAACGCAAUCAAUUAUGCACCUAUUUGUAUUAUUCUGAAAAAAGAGAUACCAAAUAUUGCGUGAAAAAUAAUGUCAAAUAUUUGAUUAAUUAAGAAUAAUUUUAUUUUUCCAAAUAUUUAUUAAGUAUCACUAAAUUAAGUAAUAUUUAGAAAAUUUUGCUAAAUAUUUAGAAAUGUACAAUUAAUUUUAAUUAUAUUAAUCAAAUAUUUAAUUAACAUUAGUUCACUCAAUAUUUGAUAGUUCUUACUAAAGAGCUCUCUUUUUUCAAUGCGUAGAGAUGUAUAGAUAAUAUAUUUUAAAUAAUCUUAUUUCACUGAAUUUUAUUAGAUAGCCAUAUAGAUCAGACAUACAAUAGAAAUAUAUAUUCAUGAUUCAAUAAUCGUUUUUGUUUCUUUUUAGAAAUAAAAAGAAAGUACAAGUAAAAUAUCAAUCGCCCACGUCUGCUCGAUGCUUUUAUUUUGCGCUUUAUGACGAAGUAUGAAGAUUAAUAGUCAGCCAUUGUUUGCAGUAGCAUCCCCUCUCGUUUCCGCGAAGCGACGAAGCGCGCGGGGGUGGGCCGAAGAGGAAAGAAGAGGGUCUGUUAAGCUUAAACUAACUCACUUGUCUUGGCGGCGUGAAAGAUACACCGAACGACCUUCUAAGCACCGUCGCGGAUAUUUCACCGAGCUCGAAGAUUAAAGGACUCUUGAAACACCCUUGGGCGUGGGUGGAAUGGGCAUUGGACGGGAGGAUGGGGGUGCUGUCAGGAUGGACAGCCUGUCCGUCGUGGCGCGACGCGGAAAACGGCGCUGAUGAAUUCGCGUCGCGAAGAAACCGCUCUCGAGGCAUUAACCUUUGUCGGUCGGCCUUUAUUUUCUCCACAAAAUAUUCCCGACCAGUGGCGUAACUAAGUCACUAUAGCUCUCGCAUCGCAAAAGGGAUCUCUCUUUCAAUAUUAAAAAGCAUCUGAGAUCAGACAACAAAAAAGGAUGAAAGUAAAUGGGAGAGGAAAUCAAUUUUGUGACAUUGAAGUUUCGUCGACAUUAGGAAGAAAAUAAUAUAUUUGACCAAGAGAGAGAAAGAGAGAUUGUAUGUAUGUAUGUGACAACAAAGCUUUGACUUAGGUAAUAUACUGAGAAAAAUGUUUUAUUAAACAAAAAGUUUUUCGAUUAAAAUAUUAAAAAAUGUAAUUAGUUGUAUAUAAACACAUAUUUAAUUAGUACCAAUAUUUUUAGAUAGUAUACACAAAUAUUUUUUUAUUUGCAUUUAUCGUGUAGAAGCAAAACUAAAUUCUUUGGUUUAAAAACUAGUUUUUUGUUACAUGAAACAGAAUAUUUGGUUGCUGUUAAAAAAUACCUCAACAAAAUAGUUUUUGCUGAAGGCACUAAAUUUUUUUUCUUAGUAUAAUGAAGAGUGUGCUAUUAUUUAAAAAAUUUUUCUCUUAAAGAUGCACAGAUACAAAAUGUAUAACAAAUGCAAAGAGAAAAGUUGUAGAAAAAUUGAUUUCUUAAUCUUCUAUUAAUUUUUCUUCAUAAAUUUUUUCUUUUGAUAUUUUAUCUUUAGAGUAUAUAGACUCAAAACUUUGUUUUCGCAUUGUGAUAGCAUUUCUAGGCAUGUAGGUGAUUUUUAAAAGUUACUAUGAAAAGUGAAAAGAAAAAUAACCAAAGUCUACGUUGUUUUAAAUGAAAUUUUAAUUAAAAUUUAAGAGAUUUGUUAAUUUUCUCCGAGGAUAAAGCUUCGUGAGUUGUUAGUUACGCCACUGAUUCCUUCAAGGGAUAUAGACAGGAAUCCUCGAGUAGCGUGCGACAUUUGUUCCUGAGAAUCACUUUAGCUUCAUCAGGGAAGCUACGCGUCUGGCCUCUGCAAUGAACAAUUGCAGUUGUGUUCUCUCUUUCAGUUCCGUGCAAUUUCUUGCACCGCGAAAUCGCGUAGGAAUACAGAAAUUAAAUUGUUGAAUGUGAACCAAGGAGACAAUACACUGCAAAAUUAUCUUUCGAGUUGAGUGCAAAUAGUACUAGAGUAGAUGCAUGGGCACUAGCUUGUGUAUAUUUCAUAGUUUUUCAAAGUUUUAUGAAACAAGAUACUCCAUUUAUUAAAUGUAUUAAAUUUCUUACGAAUCUGUCUCGUAAAAUUCAUAUUUAAUUCUUUACUCACAGAGUUCUGUCGAAAUAAAAUACGGUAUAAUCUUCUUGCAUAAAUUUUUUAAAAAACGCUGUGUUAUGAGCAAUCGUAAUUUAUAAAUCCAUAUAAAUGCUACUUUUAGAUCUUCUGCAUGUAAUAUGGAGAUAAAUACAAAUAUCAAUAAUGCGUGCACACACACACGCUCGCGCACACGCACAUAUAAAAAAGUUGUUUUAAAAUUUUAUCAUUGUAAAUAGCAGAACUGGAUUGCGAUAGUAUAAGGACGAGUUACAGUAACCAUCUACCUACCUACUUUCGACCACGAGCGACUUUUCCAAUUUCCAUAAACAAAGCAAAUUUACUUCAUAAGACGCGUUAGCAUCAUGCGCUUUGCAUGUUUUGUAUCCAUUAAUCUCUGCCUUUUCUUCUAUGCAGCCCAAAAAAUUUAAUUUUUUAAUGAUCUUUUUCAAAAUUCUCCGAUGCCAACGUGAUUCACUCAAGUUUCUUUGUAACGUGUAUCUAUUUCAAUUUGCAAAAAGUUCAAAAAGUCGAGAUUCAAAGUCAGUUAGCGAAACCGUGCGUAAUUAAACGUUACUUAAAGCAAAGUUUCAUUGGAAAAUCGUGUAGUAAUUUUUCUUUUUUCGAAUUCUUUUUAUGCCUUUACCUUUUUAAUAAGUCGCGGAACUUUGCUCGCGAUUCACCAUCCGAUUCUGUUCGAGUUCUGCUCAAAAGGUGAAAGAGUUGUAAAAAAAAAAAAAAAAAAAAAAA